GAGCUCAAAGUCCACUCCCAGCGCCUGCAGAGCCAGCUUACAUCCAGCCUCCCCUCAACCUACAGAGCUGGGCAAAGGGUGCCCACAGAUAACCUCCAUUUGGGUCACUGAACUCAGUCUCGCUGUUGAUUUGGUGGCAGCAGCAGGACAAAGGGGAUUUCUGAUGGCUUUGGAGACAGCAGGAGACAGGUGUGGCGCCCCGUGAACCCUUUGGGCUCACUGUCUUUCUGGCCAUUUCCAAGGAUCCUGGUUCCAUGUCGGGAACAGCCGGUGACCACUGCAGUUUCCCAUUUGUCUGGAAGAAGCCUGCAAUUCUCAUUCUUUGGAGUCUGCGGGUUCAGUCCUUUCCUCAGUCCCUGGUUCCAUGUUGGGAACUGGUCAUGGUGUCCACAGGACCUUUUCUGGGCCAGGAUGCAGUAACAGCUCUUGAUCUUCACCGAUAUAUUAAGCUGUUUUUCAGGAACUUGGAGCCAGCUCUUGUCCUGUCCGAGUCAGCUGAGACUGAUUGGGACCACCGACCCUAAAGCCGGUCCUGCACAAGGGUCCAACAGAUGCCCUUUUGACAUCAGAGGGGCAAAAACUCCAGUCUCAGAGUGUGCUGUGUGAGCAGUCGUGUGCGACUCUUUGUGACUGUACCCCUUCAGGCUCCUCUCUCCAUGGGAUUCUCCAGGCAAGAAUACUGGAGUGCAUUGCCAUUUCCUCCUCCAGGGGAUUUUCCCAACCCAGGGGUCAAACCCUUCUCUCCUGUGUCUCCUGCAUUGCAGGCAAAUUCUUUACUGCUGGGCCAUCGAGGAAGCCCUUCAGAUUGCACUAAAGCACUUCCAUUUUUUAACAUGCAUCUCAUGAAGAAUUAUGUAUUAAUAAUUAGCAUCUCAUGUAUUAAUAAUUCAGAGACAUCUGUGCAGAAUGCCAGUUACUUCACCUUUUCCCCUAGCUCCAAUCUCCUUUCCCCACGCUUAUGACCACCCUAACUCUUUCACCCACAGAUAGUCCAAGUUCCUCACCUAUGAGGAGCAGGAUUUGUGGAUUUGAGAUCUCA
ensembl:lncRNA